UGAAAAACGAAGGGGUUUCAGUUUUUCUCAUGCACGCUGGGAUGCGGGGAACCCUUGAAGCUCUCUGGGAUGUCUUCCCAUUAUUCACAAAUACUGAAUGGGGUGAGAACGCAAACCUUGGGUUUCUCAAGAAGCAUAUGGGGGCUUCAUUUCAAACACGUCCUCAGCCAUGGGUUACAAACAUUAGUGUUGAUGACAUUCACUCUGGAGAUUUCCUUGCAAUAUCAAAAAUUCGUGGACGGUGGGGUGGUUUUGAGACUCUAGAGAAGUGGGUCACGGGAUCUUAUGCUGGUCAUUCCGCAGUUUGCUUAAGGGAUUCUGAAGGGAAGCUAUGGGUUGGUGAAUCAGGACAUAGAAAUGAAAAGGUGAACCCUUACAAUUUUCUGAAUCAUGUGACAAUGAAGUAGUAGAAUUAUAUCAAACAUAAGCUCUUACUGUCAACAAUUUUUCAUACUGUUUCAAUUGGUAAUAUUUUCCAAUUUCUUUUUACUAUUUUAAAUUUUUUAACAUGUUUUUUCCUGUAUAUCUAUAGGCACGGGGCUAUUUUAAGGCUAUUCUGUUGCUACGAUGGUGUUUCAGUUGAAAAUGUCCUAUGAGCUGCAUUACGCAGUCAUGUUGCAACCAAGACAGCUCUAGCAAUAAUUCCUUUUCUUUAAACUCUUUAAUUUUAGUGCUGCACUUAUUGUUUACUUCAUUUAUUAAUUUGGUGUUUUCCCCAUUUGCUGACCAAUCCUUAAACUAUUUGGGUAUGCCAAGGUUGACUAUUUCUUAUUCUUCUGCUUGCAUUACAUCUAGAAAGUUUAAAAAUUACCACAUUUUGUAUACAAUAAUUCAAUGUGGGAUUUGAGAGAGGGAAAUAAUUUUAUUCAUCAAAGAUUCUUUUGGAUCAUUAUGUUUACAUGAGUUUCUUAUCAGAUGAUACAAACUACAGUCCUUACCAGAUAAUAUAAGUUACAUACUUUUGUUUUAAUAGAAAUAAGCUUCAAUUUUUUGGUCCUUUUCUUUUAAAUUAUUAACAGAGAUUGAGUGGCAUUUUUUUUUCUUGAAGAAUAUUUUUUUUCCUUAUUCAAUUUUUUGUACUUCUCUAAGACAUUAACCUUAACUAAUAAUUAGGUAUGGGCACUCAUAUGCAACUAUGAUUUUGAGUUAAUAAAAAAUGGUGCUUUACAUUUUUGUUCUAGGGAGAAGAUGUUAUUGUAACAUUACCAUGGGACGAAUGGUGGGAUGAUGCACUAACUCAAGAUGAUUCCAAUUCUCAUAUUGCGUUGCUUCCUUUGCAUCCUCACCUCCGAGCCAAGUUUAAUGAGACAGCUGCCUGGGAGUAUGCACGUAGCAUGGAAGGCAAACCUUAUGGUUACCAUAACAUGAUAUUUAGCUGGAUAGAUGCUCUGGAUGAAAACUAUCCACCCCCCUUAGAUGCUCAUGUGGUAUUGUUUUUCUCUAUUGUUUCUCAAAUUAAGCAACAACAUGCAAUUAAAACAAGAGUCAGAAAUGUUUCUCAGAUUUGGAUUAUUUUUUUAAAGGUGCUCUGCUAUCAUCUUAUGUAGUUUCAUACAUUUUAGUAUGCUGCUGCUCCCUAUCAAACACCCCUCUGCCAACCAAAAAAAGCAGAUCUUGGUGGAUCAACCAGAUUGCUGGUAGUGUAAAAGUUUUAUUUUCAACUAAUCAGCUUUGACUGUUUGUUUUAUGUGGCAUAGGUUGCUGCAGGUAUGACAGUUUGGAAUCAAAUGUGGCCUGCAUAUGCUGCUAACUUAUGGAAUGAGGCCUUGAACAAGAGGCUUGGAACUCAGGUAUUUAAUUAGUUGUUCUUCACCUUGCUUGACCAUUCACAAAUUAUCUUACUGAUGUGUUGGUUUACUGAUAUGGCAUUCUAAUGUCAAAAAUGAUAAUGUACAUGGUUGUUAAUUCGUCACCUUUUUCAUUGAUGAAUAACAUAUGGAACAUUUUGAAGCCCUUGAGGCCAAGCACACCUGGCAAGGGGUUGGGUUGAGGAUAUGGAAGGUUCUAGGUGUGAGUCCCAGCAUGGGCAAGAAAAUAAAUCUUAUUCAUAUAGAGGAAAAAACAUAUUGAACAUCUGAAUCUUUGAUGUAUAAUUGGUUGGAAAAAUAAAGUUCACCAUGUAGACUGCAUUAGGAAUUUGGGACUUGGCAUUUAAGGAUCCUCCUAAGUAUCCUCGGUCUGACGUAGAUAUCAUCAUGGCUGAUCUUAAAAAUCAAGUCAUCAGAAAUCUUGUAGUUUUAGAAAAAGUUAUAUCUAAUGGUUGCAAUCAUACUUGGUAUUGUUGAAUGUUAGAUUUGAAAUAAGAAAAAUGUCUAGUUGAUUUUUCUGAGAGAAAAAGGAAAAAUUGUUCUUGUUCUUAGCAUCCGAUGUAACUUUUUCCUUAAUGCAGAACCUUUCUCUUCCUGAGAUUCUAAUUGAAACUGAAACGCGUGGAUCGUCAUUUGCUGAAUUGCUGACAAUUCCUGAGCAGGAUGAUUGGGUUUACACUGAUGGAAAGUCAACAUCUUGUGUUGCUUUCAUUCUGGAAAUGUAUAAGGAGGCAGGAUUAUUUGGUCCAAUUGCUAGCUCUAUUCAAGGAACUGAGUUCACGGUGAGUCAAAGCAAUACAGAGUUUGCUAGUCCUGAUUAAAAGAAGUCACCAUUUAGCAUUAUCAUGAUAUAUUUUGGUUAUCAGUAGAUAAAUGUUAUGAAGAAAAUUGAACAUAAAUUAUCCAGCAUCAAAUGAUUAGGAUGAUCUGAUCCUAGUGGUUUUGGGGUUGAAGGUUUUCUGAACCAGAUAAAUGAUCCGUGUUCCUGUUUCACAUUCCCUCCUUAGUCUGCAUCGGAACUUAACUUAUAAUGUUCCCAAAUCAAAGUGUUAAGCAAUCUGAUUUAGUGGGUUGUUUGUGUAAAAAAGCAGAGUUAUUGCUGUCUUGCAUAUGUCUCAAUUUGUUUUAUUUCCAAAAAUGCAGAUAAAAGAUGCAUACACACUGAGUUUUUUUGAAAAUGAUUCAAGCCGCCUGCCAAAAUGGUGCAAUGAUGGGGACAUUGUGCAGCCUUAUUGUCAGAUAAAAGGAAAGUAUCGAAUGGAAUUGCCAGAGUACAAUACCCUGGAUCCAUACUCUCAUAUGAACGAAAAAUGCCCAUCCCUGCCUCCAAAAUACUCGAGGUCUGCAAAUUGCUGAAAAGGAUGAAAGGUUGUAGGUUUUAGAAUCAAGAAGUGUUAGAAGCAACAAAAAAAACUAUAUUUGAGCUAGCGAAAAUGUCUACUCUUAUUGAAUGAUCAAUGCAACAUUUAUACACAAGUUUGUAACAGAAAACAACAGAAAAGCAGCAAAAAUAGCUAUAUGUUGGGACUAACAGCUAUUUCCUUUAAAAUAGCAACAGCUACAUAACAGUUAUUAAGCUCCAUGAAACUCUAUCAGCUUCAUUGACUAAGUUUUUCAUGGUUGCAGCCUCAAUUUCAGCAUCUCUUUACACCUCAGCAGCUUUCUUAACAGAUUCGCUUUCACACGACUUCCGGCAUGUUUGUAGGUACUAAGGCAUUUUACUCAACACUCCUCCUUGACUUAGGAGCUACAAACUCCAAGUCUUUUAAUGAGAAAUUCAAACCUAGCUCUCGGUAGGGCUUUUGUUAGAAUAUCAACAUUUUGUACUUCUGUUUUACAAUGUUCCAAAUUUACUUCUCAAUCCUGCCGUAUUUCCCUUAAGAAAUAAAACUUGAUUUUUAAGUGCUUUGUCCUGCCAUGGAAUAUUGGAUUACUUGCAAUUUAAAUUGCAGCCUGAUUGUCAACAAAGACUUGUGUGCUUCCAGUUUGCUCCAUGUUUAGGUCUGUUAGCAGCUUUCUUAUCCAAAGUGCUUGAUUUGCAGCUGCAACAACAAUGUACUCUGUUUCGGCUGUGGAUUGUAGCACGAUAUCCUGUUUUUUAGAACACCAAAAGAAAAAACCUGAACCAAAACUGAAGCAAUAACCUGAUGUGCCUUUUAUAUAUCUCACAACACGUUUUGCUGCCUGCAAGUGAAUUUCACUAGCACAAUGCAUGUAUCUUGAGAGUAGACUUACAACAUGUACUAUAUUUGGCCUUGUUGCAGUCAAAUACAUUAGGCAUCCAAUCAUGCUUCUGUAUAACUCUUCAUCUACUUUUUCAGCACUAUUUUCUUUACAAAACUUUUCUUUUUGAUUCAUAGGUGUUGCUGUGGGCUUGCAUUCCUCCAUCUUGAACUUUUUGAGUUUCCUUUGCAUACUUUUGCUGACAGAUGAAUAUCUCGUGCUGAUUCUGAUGCACUUCCAUUCUCAAGAAAUAAGACAUGUCUCCAAGAUCUGUCAUCUCAAAGACCUCCUCCAUUUCAGCUUUGAAUUUAACCAUUAAACAUUGAUUGCUCCCUGUUACAAGCAAAUCAUCAAUGUAUAAUGAAACAAUAAGUAUGUCAGAAUUAACUUUUCUAAUAUAAAGUCUGGAUUCACUUUUGACCUUUUUUAGACCCCAGACUAAGCAGAUGUGCAUUAAUCCUGCUGUACCAAGCUCUGGGGGCUUGCUUUAAGCCAUACAAGGCUUUCUUUUGUUGAUAAACCUUGUCUUCUUUCCCUUUUACUGCAAAUCCUUUAGGUUGUCCCACGAAGAUUUCCUCCUCAAGGUAGCCAUUUAGGAUGGCUGAUUUUACAUCUAGCUGACAUAUUUUCCAACCUUUUUGAGUAGUCAAAGCUAGCAGCAUCCUUAUUGUAUCCAACCUAGCUACAAGUCCAAAGGUCUUUGAAAAAUCCACAUCGAACAUUUGAGCAUAACCUUUGACAACCAGCCUGGCUUUAUGUUUGUUUACAUAACCAUCAAAAUUGAGUUUGGUCCUAUAAACCCACUUGACACCAAUGGCCUUUUUAUGUGUUGGUCUGUCAACUAGCUCUCAAGUGUUUUUUUAUCUCUAUCAUGUUGAGUUCCUCCUGCAUUGCAACUCUCCAUUUUUGAUCCUCGGCAGCUUUAGUAAACCCUGCAGGCUUAAACACAACCACAUUACACCUUUGAUAAAUAUCAGAAAGUGAUCUGGUGCCUUUUAUAGGAAUGUCAUUAAUAUUUUCAUCAAGGAACUCGAGAUUCUGAUUUUUUUAGCAUCCUAGCUCCAUUUAUCAUCCUCCGUGAAUUUGACAUCUCUGCUGACAAUGACUUUGUCACCAUGAGGCAUAUAGACUCUAUAAGUCUUUGAUUGGCUGCUGUAUCCUACGAAGAUCCCAGCUUUAAUAGCCAACCAGUUAUUAGUAAUGAUGAAUGAAAAAACCUAGCAAAGAGUGAAGACCCAUAUUGUACAACGAUUUAUAUUAGCACGUUGUAGGUAUGACCAUAUGGGUUAGUGAUACCUCAUCCUUGCUCAGCAUCUGUUUGUUUGUUUGUCUAUCUCUUUGCUUUCUCACAUGUGUGCACACAUACAUAUAUGUGGUGAGUUGGGAUGACUUUAUUGGAUUGGAGCUUGGUGAAAAAUUGGUGAGAUCCGUAAGACAUUGAGCCCCAAAUUUUAGACUUGGUGAAUUGUGAGAGUCUGAAAAUUUUGAUCAACAUCUUGGCGCAAUAAUCCUUUUGUUUAUUUGGAUGAGUUUUGGUCUGAAUGAUAGAUGAUUUCGGUUUUGGGAGUUUGGUGAAAGAUUAAAAAAUAAUUUGAAUAAUGAAACAGGCAGAAUAUGUUGUAGCCUCGAAAGAAUUCUAAUGGAGGUAGAAGGUUGGGAUUUGGAGGAAAAUUUAAAUGACCUCAUUAAGCACUAGUAUGUGACCUGUUUGCUAAUCCCUAUUUUCAAAAGUAUAAAGUAAUGCUAUGAAUGUAGAAGUUGAAGAUACUGAAUUAGCGGAUCAAGCUGUUUUACGGUCUUUUUUGUACAUGUUUUCAGAUUGGGUUAGGAUGUAUGUAGAUUGUUCAUCAUGGUCCAUUUUCGAUUUCAAUGAUUGGUUGGGAUGUAAGUAAGGGGGUGAUUUUUUGCUAUUCCUUUUCUUUUUGGCCUUGUUGCCUUGUAUACAUCAUGUAUACUUUCAGGGGAAAAAAAUGAUGAUAUUUCAUUGUUUGAUGUCGAAAAUAUGAAAUUGUACUGAAGUUGAUAUGGUUGGUGCAGAAUGACAUUCGCAAGAACCCUGCUUUCAGAUCACAGUUCCAUGAGAUGUGCGCUAAAGUAGGAGUAGACCCCUUGGCAUUGAAUAAAGGAUUUUGGGUAGAGCUAUUAGGAAUUGGUGACUUCUAUUAUGAACUUGGUUGGUUUCAAUCUACUUGAUGGUGCACCUCUUGAAAUUUAUUUAAAAAGAAGUCUCUGACCUCUGAUCUGCCAUUUCUUUAAAAUAUAUGUUAUUUUGUUGAUUAUUCUGAGACUAGUUUGAAUGCAUGUGUUACUUUUUCAUGCUAUAAUUAAUGCAUGUUGUCAGUGUGCGUAUUCUAAACAACAUUUUUUUCUUGAUAGGAAACCACGCGUGAAUAUAUUGAUAGAAAAAGAAGUACAAAAGGAGGAUGAGGAAUCCUCCCGCCAAAAGUAAAACUAAACAACAUGAAAAAAUAACAAUACACUAGGCCGUCCCAUUGGAACUAUUGGAUCUACACACUGCUAGCCAAUCAAGUUGUAAUACGUUAAGGGGGAUGCCCUUAAAACCCGCUGAACAAAAAGCCCAAAAGGAUGCAAGGAAAUGAAUGGAAUCCCAAAGAUUCUCUGAAUUCCUAGUUUUGUCCUCAAAUAUCCUAACAUUUCUUUCCUGCCACACAACCCAGAUUAACGCUAUACUCGCGUUUUGCCACAGAAUUACCCCUCUCUUGGACUUGCCAAAUCCUUUAUAAUUGAUGAACAUCAUGUCUGAAAUGCUUUUCGGAGGUACCCAAUCCAUCUUGGCUAGCUGAAAAAGUCUGUGCCACAACCCCAACGUCACUGAACAAUGGAGAAAGAGAUGAUCUGCUGAUUCUCCUUGCUCCAUACACAACUUACAUAUGUCAAGGUUAAUAGCUUUGUGGGGUCUCCUCAAUUGUCGCAAGUCAUUGGUAUUUACCUUUUUGUGUGUCACAAGCCAGACAAAGGCCUUAACUUUGAAAAGGACUUGAGAUUUCCAUACAAACUUAGUGGGGAAAAAUGGAGAUGAAUUAGGCAUUUGGGACAAGGCUGUAAAGAAAGACUUAACUGUAAACAAUCCUGAAGACAAUAAGGACCAUGAUCUCGCGUCUGAAGCGGAAGUGGAUAAGUUCAUACAAUCUAGAGAGUGCAUGAGGCGUUCUAGAUCUUCUAUCUCAGAAUCGGUUAGAUUACGACAGAAAUUAAAGUUCCAUGAGAAAGGGCGAGACGAACCGAGAAUUGAAGAUAUAUGAAUAUUUUUAUCCAUUACUACUCGAUAUAGUCUUGGAUGUUGGUCUUUAAAGAUUUGGUCCCCCCACCACAAAUCUUCCCAAAAGCGAAUUUUUUCCCCAUCUCCUAUGAUAAACCGAGUAUACUUGGAAAAAUCCUAAAAGACUUGUGCAAUGGCCUUCCAAGGACAGCGGUGUGACCAUCUAACUACAGUAUUGGCAUCCCAACCAUUUGAGUGUGUCCCGUAUAUGCUAAGAAUGACCUGAUGCCAUAGAGUUGUACUUUCCCUAGGAAACCUCCACAACCAUUUCCCUAAAAGAGCGUGAUUCCUUAAAGGUAUCUUCCCAAUCCCUAAACCCCCUUUAACCCUCGGCUUGCACACUGCAUCCCACCUAACAAGAUGAUCUCUUUUGCCUUCCUCAACCCCUGACCAAAGAAAGUCCCUUUGCAUUCUCUCAACUUUUGCAACCACUGAAGUUGGAAUCUUAAACAGAGAAAGGAAGUAGCUAGGGAUAUGGGAAAGGUAAGAGUGUAGGAGAGUUAGCCUACCACCUAAAGAUAAGUAAGCCUUUUGCCAUCCGUCUAAUCUCCUAGAGAUUCUCUCAAUCAUUGGAUCCCAGAAUCCACAAGUAGUUGGAUUCCCUCCCAAAGGAGGAUCCAGAUAAAGUAUGGGUCAAUCUGAAGCCUUGCAGUCAAGCAUCAAGGCUAACCUAGAGAGAUGAUUCUGAUCAAGGUUGAUGCCAAAAAGAUUACUCUUGUCAAGAUUGACCUUAAGCCCAGAGAUUUGACCAAACACUAACAAUAAACUCUUAAGAGUUUGCAAUUCUUCCUGGGGGAAGAUCCGAAUAGACGCAUUUGGAUGGAUAAGGUUCCAAAAAAAGUGUCUUUUUUUGCUUGGGAAGCUUCGUGGGGGAAGAUCCUCACCUUGGAUAAGCUUCAAAGAAGGGGGUGGCAGCUCCCUAAUCGGUGUUUUUUGUGCAGCUGCGAAGAAGAAAAUGCGAAUCAUAUUCUUUUACAUUGUACAGUGGUUAAGACUAUUUGGGAGAUUACCCUUGUCAUCUUCAGAGUUCAAUGGGUGUUCCCAAAGUCAGUUAUAGAGGUGUUACUUAGCUGGAGGGGUUCUUUUGUGGGAAAAAAAGAAAAAAGAUAUGGAAUUCCAUCCCGUUGUGCAUAUUUUGGACGGUUUGGAAGGAAAGGAAUAGGUUAGCUUUCAGAGGAGGGUUGUUAGAUAUUCAGAAAUUCAAAAAUUUUUUUGUUUGUAACUUGUGGAGUUGGGCUAGGGUGUACAUUGGUGAGGAAACCUACUCUCUUUUAGGCUUUUUGGAGUGGCUUGCGACCACUUGAGGGUGGGUGAGGUUUAUCCCCUUUUUUCUUUCAGCUCUGUUUUUUGGGCUUUUCUGUAUACCCCUAUAUACGUGCGGCUUCUUAGCCUUUUCUAAUAUAUUUGGUUGUUUAUCUAUCAAAAAAAAGAGUUUGCAAUUCUUCCUUUCUAGGGUUAGCAAGAGGAUGGUAUCGUCCCAUCUGUUUCUACCUAUCUUGAAGCCUUCCAGCAAAUUUCUUGCCUCAACUUUCAACAACAUUCUACUCAACACAUCUGCAACAAUAGUGAACAGGAAAGGAGAUAAAGGGUCACCUUGUCUUAAACCUCUAGAUGCCUUGACCCACCCUUUAGCAUUACCGUUCACUAGAAUAACAUAAGAGACUGACGACAGACAACCUCUCAUCCAACUCCUCCAUUUAGAACUAAAUCCCUUCUUCUCCAACACGUGAUCCAAAAAAUCCCAUUUCACAUGGUCAUAAGCCUUUUCAAAGUCUAUCUUGAAUACAACUCCCUCCUUCCCUGAUCGCCUUUUCUCGUCCACAAUCUCAUUGGCUAUAAGAACUGCAUCCAGAAUUUGUCUCCCUUGAACAAAAGUACCUUGAGUGGAGUGGAUGGUCUCGUGUAGUACUCCUCUUAGUCGCCCUGACAAGACUUUUGCUAUUACCUUAUAUAGACAAGUGAUCAGACUAAUAGGUCUAAAAUCCGAAAUCUUCUUUGACUGACUCUUUUUGGGCAAAAGGACUAUGAAGGAAGUAUUGGUGUUUUGAUUAAUAAUCCCGCUAUUGUGAAACUCUGCAAACACCCUCACUAAGUCUUCCUUGAUCACAUCCCAACAAUCCUGAAACACUGCUAUGGUGAAACCGUCAGGCUCCGACGCCUUAUCCCUAUCUAACUGAAAGAUGACAUUAAAGAUCUCUACUUCAGCGAAAGGGGAAUCCAGCCUUGAAGCACUCUCUUCUGAUAUAGGGGACCAAUCAAUACCUUCUACUCUCCAUGACUCACCAGGAGGACUCGAGUAGAGCUUUUUGAAAUAAAGUAAUAUCUCUUCUGUGAUGCUCUCGGAAUUAUCCAACACCAAACCUCUUUCAUUUUCCAAGAAUUUGAUGAAAUUCCUGUUUCGUCUCCCAUUAGUCAUUUUGUGAAACAACUUUGAGUUACAAUCCCCGUCCUUAACCCAUUUUACCUUAGCUUUUUGUCUCCAAUGAAUUUUUUCUCUCAAAAUUAGUUCCUCUAGCUCCCCUUUUCUUACAACUCUUUGAGCUGCAAGAUCAGAAGAGAGAGCCCCUUCUUGUUCAAUGGCAUCAAUGUAAGCUAUUUCAUCCAAUAUGGUUUUUUUCCUUUCCUUAAGCAUUUCAAAAGUAUUCUUAUUCCAAUAUUUCAAUUUUGCCUUAACGAAUUGUAACUUCCUAGUGAACUUGUGACCUUUCUAACCAUUUCCUUCAAAUUCUCUCCACCAACUGCUAAAGCACUCUUUGAAACUAUGAUGUUGCAACCACAUAUUCUCGAACCUAAAAGGUGUUGGGCCCCACUUGAACGGAUUGGUAUCCAAGACAAUCGACCAAUGAUCCGAUGUCCAUCUAGGAAGAACUUCUUGAAGGCUUUGAGGGAAGGAAAGCUCCCACUCAUUUGAAUAGAAAAACCGAUCCAAUCUCUUACACACCGGUGACUCUUGCAUGUUUGACCAAGUAAAAGAGGCAUUCCGUAAUGGGGGAUCAUGUAAUUCGCAUUCUCUUAUAAAACCAUCAAAAUCCCUCAUGCUGGAAGUGAAUCCAGAUCCCUCCAGUUUUUCUGAUCUUCUCCUUAUAACAUUGAAGUCACCUCCCACACACCAUGAAGGAUAAGUAAGGCAAAAAAGGUCUAAUAACUCCACCCAAAAAUCCUUCCUAAUUGAGGGAUUGUUUGGCCCAUAGACUGCGGACAACCACAAUGGUCCGCUUCCAUCCAACAAGAACUUGACUGAGACGGAAAAGGAUCCUAUUACCACCUCCUCACCGCUCAUUUUUUUUGAGUUCCAAAUGAUCAAAAUCCCUCCUGAAGCCCCGCACGUCGGGAGAAUAACCCACUCCUUAUUCCUAACCGACCAGACACUAUUUACAAACUUUCUGUCGCACACCUUUCUUUUUGUUUCCUGAAACAUCACUACAUUCGGAUUCUGAAGUCGCAAAAAUUCCUUAACCACCCUCCUCUUUUUCCUAGAUCCCAGCCCCCUUAUAUUCCAGCUUAUGAUCCUCAUAAUAACACCUCACUGUCCCUAAAUCUCCAAACCAUCACCACCAAAGCUCAAUUGCCUAUGGCAAUUCUGUUCUUUCGUCUUGAAUACACCUUAAUAUCCAAGGAGCUUAAGACCUCACAAACUUUAGCCAUUUUGCUGGGGGAAAGACCUUCUAUUUGGAACCCCCCUCAUCUGGGAGAAUUCUGAGUCUCCCUGGCUUACUGCACCCAGAAUAGGGGCCCCAUGAGGCGAGUUGGGAUUGGUCCUAUCAUACUUAAAGCUCUCAGACAUCAGAUUCAAUCUAGCCAGCUGGGACACCGCUUCAACAUGAUUAGGAUUGCCAACAUACCCAAGACGAUAAUCCCCAACGACAUUUUUUUUUGAACAACUUUCAGUUAACACUCGGUCUUUCAUAGGAAACUGGGAAUGAAAGGCUGAAAUGGAGAGAUCGGGAACAGAAGGACUUUGGUAUGGAGGAGCCACACCAGAGAAGGGAGACCGUAAAGGCAGAGAAGGCUGAGAAGAAUGGUGAGAAGAUACCUGGAAAAUUCCCACUUCCGUCAUUCCACAGUACCCCUCAAAGAUAAGCCCUUUUUCUUUGUUUGCGGGAUAAGAAGGAUGAUCUGAGACUGAAGAUCCACUAUGAGAAUAACCCGCAAAGCCCUUAACACCUGCUCUGUCUUCUCCUAUAGCAUUAUUGCGCAUUUUCUCCUUCUCUUUUGACAUAAAAGGAGCCCUAAGAAUAUUCCUUUGUUCCUCGAUUUCCUCUGUCGGCGUCGUUCCUUCCUCGAAACACCCUUGAACCAACUGUGAUCCCGCCUCGGAGGCUUCUUCCAAUGGAAGAGUAUCGCUACCUGUCGGCGAUCUCUCAGUCGUGAGUGGCUCUCCUCGGCUUCGAUCCCCUUGUCGGCAUGCAGAGCUUGAUGGAAGUAGAACAUUCCACAGCUUCUUUGAACCACACUUCACCGUGAAGCCCCUCCGUUGAUUUUCAGAUUCCUCGUAGCCUACCUUCGCCUUCCCCUUUGCAGAGUGAGUAGCUCUGUGUGACGGGCCCUUUGACAAUCUGUCUUGCUUGCCUCCCAUCUCUUGGCCCAGCGACUGAAUCGGGCCUAUUCUAAACAACAUGCAUGUUGUCAGUAUGAUUCUUGCACAGUGCAGUUCAAAUGAAAUUUUGUAUUGGGGAGAAGUGAGCAGAAAUGUUCUCCAGGAGAUGUUGCAAGGGCACAAUUGACCCAAAUUCUGAUCUUAGAUUAGAAUUUGGAACAUAAAUUAUGAAUCAAUUUGUUGCGUAGGUUAAGAUUCCUCUGUGCAUUUAUCUUCUCUAUUUUCUAUUAUUAAUGAAUCUUUAUUGCAUAUUGAAACUGGGUGAUAGCUUUUUGUAGCCCCUGAUAUGAAUGGAUAAAAUGUGUGGGUACAUACAUGCAAAUAUGCAUACCUACACACUCACAGACUCCACAUCAUAUAUUUGGAUAAAUACUUACCUUAUCUUUUUGAUAAGUACCUAUAAAAAAAAAAAUAUAUUUGGAUAAGUACUUUACUUUGCAUACCACCUCAGCCCCUGCCCCAAGGAAAAAGAAAAAAAAAAGGCAAAACUUUAAGCUACUUCAAUUACCUUAAUGAAACACCAUCGCCUGUGUGUGCUGCAACCUCUAAAGAACUGCUGAUUCAGUAUUCAUGCUUCCUGCAGUUUCAAAUAAUAAUGUCCUUUUUAGUGGUUUGUUUGAGAUAAAACUUUCUUAUUUAUAUUGAAUUGAAGAUAUCCAUAAAAAAAUGGAUAUUGAAUUAAAGAUUCUUAGGGAAUAUUGAUUCUAUUUUCUGUAAAUAUUUAUCAACCCAAUUUCAGAGAUGAAACUUACUUUUGUUUGUGAGUAUACUUGGCUAGACAGGUGUGCAAAUUGUUGACAUAUGCUUAGCGACAAGAGUUCACAAUGGAGGUUUCAUUGACUUGCAGGAACUGUGCAAUUUGCUUUGCCAGAGACGUAAAAGUUGCUCAUGGAGCUGUAUCUGAGGAUGACUGCUUGCGUGCCAUAAGUAAGCUGAAGGUAUUGUAGUUGAUUCUCUCUCUUAAUGUUUCACAGCAUACUAUGUUUAUGGAGCAAGUGCUCUGAAAUGGCUUGAAUUCUUGGUAUAUGCUUAAGAUCUGCAUGGGUGGUGGUAGGGUUUUGGAAUCUGAUGUGAAGAUGUGUUGCUUAAUUCAAAGUUCUUAAAACUAAGAAGUCUUGAGGAAAUCAAGUAAAGGAUGAGAGACAUAGUCUAUGACCCUGCACCUUUCCCAUAUUCAUUCAAAUAUAGUUUAAGAGUGUGUUUAGUGUGCCAGUAUCCAAAUUAAGAGUUGGAAAUCAUAUUUCUUAAAAUAAAAUCCCAAAAUGCAUUGAAUCUGAGAUUUUUUAUCCUAACAUUUAGUUAAAGUUGAAUUAGAAAUUUCACUUACAUUUUAUUCCAAUCCUAGGCUUUUGAUCUUAUAAAUUCCUGAAAUUAUUGUCAAUCUACAUGAUAAUCCCACAAAUGGUAUUAACAAAAAUGGGUUUAGUUAAAAAUAUAAAAAGAAAUAAAUAUGAGGUGUGUAUGUUUCUUUUAUCUUCAUCCCUGAAGAAUAUGAAUAAAAGAAUAGGCAAUCUUAAAUAGGUGAGGGAAUUUCACAUCCAAGGAAAUCAAAACUUUCAUACAAUGACUAUUAUCAUCUUGCCUCCCAUCUUGCUCCACAGCUCAACUAGAUAGAUGUGAUACCAGCGUCGCACAGGAAUGUUUUGGUCAAAAAAAGAAAAAAAGAGAAAGGGUAAACAAAACUUUUAUAAUUAUGCACGUUUUUUUUUUUUUUUUUUUUUGAUAGAUAAACGAUCAGAAUAUAUUAGAAAAGGCUAAAAAGCCGCAUGUAUACAGGGGGUAUACACAAAUGCCCCAAAAGGGGAACCGAACAAAAAAGAGGGAGAACCUCACCCACCCUCAAGUGGCCGCAAGCCACUCCAAAAAGCCUAAAAGAGAAUAGGUAUCCUCACCAAUGUACACCCUAGCCCAACUCCACAAAUUACAUACAAAAAAAUUCUUGAAUUUUUGUAUAUCUAAAGACCCCCCCCUAAACGCUAACCUAUUCCUUUCCUUCCAAACCGUCCAAAAAAUGCACAAUGGAAUGGAAUUCCAGGUGUCUUUUCUUUUUUUCCCCACAAAAGAACAUGCUAAACCCAUAAUUUGAUAUAGGAUGCCAUUCCCCUAUUAAAGGUAAUUGUGUCAAAAUAUUGUAUGAAUGGCCGAAUCCCUUGACCUUGAGUUUUGUAUAUUAUAUAUAGACUUUACAAGGAUGCUAUACAUGGAAAGCAAAUAAAAACAAAUAAAUUCCCGCAUGAUUCUAGCCCUAUACAUGUAAACUAUAAUCUGUCAAAUAAUAUAUGUUAACUGUACAGAAUAAUAAAUGGAGAAAUAAAGAAACAAUUGUGGGCUAAAAUAAGGAAAGAAGAAAUGUGGACAGCAAGUUGUCCUUUGACAGCCCCCCUCAAAUUGAUGCAGGUUAAUCAACAAGCAUCAAUUUGCUACUUAGCAAGCAAUGUCGAUGACGAGGGAGAGCCUUGGUGAAGAUAUCAGCAACUUGUAAGUCAGUGGAAAUAUGUGGAAGAGUGAUAACAUGAGCUUCAAAGGUUGCACGGAUAGAGUGACAGUCCACUUCAAUAUGCUUUGUGCGCUCAUGAUAGACAGGAUUAGUCGUGAUCUGAAUAGUACUUGUAUUAUCGGCAUGUAGAGGUGUAGGAUCGGUCUCAAAAAAGUCUAACUUCACAAGCAAACCUCGAAGCCAAAUGAUUUUAGAAUAAGCAAGAGACAUCGCCCGGUUCUCAGAUUCCGUAGAUGACUUAGAGACUCUAUCUUGCUUCUUACUUUUCACAAACAUCUUAAACUAAAACUCCCUACUAAGAUAGUUUUUGCCAUUGAAACAAACAAUAGAAUAUUCUUCAGACAUUACGAAAACAGAAAUAGCCUAGGAAACAAAAAAAACAUCGUCAAAGAGCCUAAAUCUGAUAACAAACCUCCAAAUAAUCGAAGAUCUCCAAGAGCCUAGAAUCGAAGAAACCCAAAGAAAACUCCAAGAUCACAUCACAGAUGUGUUGUCACAACCACCAGAAAAAAAAGAAAAAGAACCGAAAAGCUGGGCUAGAGUCCGAGAGCCCCUAGGGCUAAAUCCGAGAGCCCUUAGGGCUAAAUCCGAGAGCCCCUUAGGGCUAAAUCCGAGAGCCCCUUAGGGCUAAAUCCGAGAAAACCUAAAGAAAAACUAGAAAGCGUGUAAACUCUAGGUUCAGAACACAAGCUCUAAUACCAUGUCAAAAUAUUGUAUGAAUGGCCGAAUCCCUUGACCUUGAGUUUUGUAUAUUAUAUAUAGACUUUACAAGGAUGCUAUACAUGGAAAGCAAAUAAAAGCAAAUAAAUUCCCGCAUGAUUCUAGCCCUAUAUAUGUAAAUUAUAAUCUGUCAAAUAAUAUAUGCUAACUGUACAGAAUAAUAAAUGGAGAAAUAAAGAAACAAUUGUGGGCUAAAAUAAGAAAAGAAGUGUGGGCUAAAAUAAGGAAAGAAGAAGUGUGGACAGCAAGUUGUCCUUUGACAAAUUGACAUGGUUGUUCACUCAUAAAAUGUAUCCUGUUUCAUUUUUCUAUUUUUUCUAUAUCUUGUAUCUUAUCAUAUCAUGUUUCCUAAGUUUUCUUACAUAAUGAAAAAUAAGAAGAAAAAAUACACAUACAUAUAUGGAAUACAUAUUUAUUGGAAGAAUAAAAGUAUAUAGUAAUGUAUAAUCAAUUUCAUGAAAGGUGGUAGGAUUUCAAGAGUUAAACUAUGUCAUACCAUAUAAAAAAAAAAAAUGAACGCUAGAGUUUUGAAAAGUUCAAUUUUACAAAAUAUGAGUUUAAUGCAUAGGUUAGUUACAAAAUCUACUAAAAUAAACUUUUUGAAAAUUCAGAUAUGAUUUUUAGUUCCAAAUUGAGAUUAGGAAUAUGUACUUACAUAUGUUUGUGAUAUGUGUGUUUUUAUGCGUGAUCACCAAAAUUUUAAUUUUUUGUGUUUUGUCAUCGUUCGUUUCUCACUAGAAAAGAAAUCUUGAAACUAAAAGAAGAAAAACUAAUUUAUUAAAUAAAAGAUUUUUAUUUACAAAUCGCCAUUAUUUCAAUGUCAAUUUUCAAAUAAUUAAAAUUGCAAUUCCCCAAUAUUCAUUGUAAGAAUAAUUUUAGUUGAACUCUCAAUAUUUUAUGUGUCUUUUAACAACAAGAAUAUAACUUCUCAUGUAUGAUUAUUUUCUCUUUUUUAUGAUCAAUUUUUAACCUUAAAGUACAUUUUAAACACAUAAUUAAUAAUGCUUUUAAGAAAAAAAAAUGUUGAAUUUGAUUAUUCUUAAAAAAACUAUGAAAAAUAGCUAAAGGUGCAUGUAUUAUUAUAUUGUUGUAUUAUGUCAUAUCAUGUAUCCUGUUUGCGUCGUCUGAUACACUUAAGAUACGGAUUGUCAAUACGUAUUUGAAUUUCAUAAAGAAUGUAUUAUAUUUUUGUAUCAUAUUGUUUAUCAUAAGUUUUUAAUGAUGGUAACUAGAAGCCAUAUGCAUCCCAAGGGAUUUCCCUGGUCAAUAGUUAACCAAUUCAAUCAAUCUCACCUCUAUAACAUUCUUCUAGAUUAAAAGAUAACUGCUCCCAUUAAACAUCUAUGGAUGGAUAUUAGGACUUUCUUGGAGCAUCUAUCAAUGAUUAAGACUUUCAUCUAAUGCUGACAUCUAUACUUGAUUUCUUUUAUUUUCAGUAUUAUUAAUUUUUUGAUAUAUAUUGGUGCCAUUACUAUUUCUUGCCAGAAGUAAAUGGAAUGUUUGCAUGGUUUGAUCAGUAGCGAACUUCUUUAAUAUAAACGUCAGGAUGCAUCUCCUAAGCAGUGUUCUUGAUGUUUAUGAUACACUGUAUUAACAUUCGGUGCUCGAACCUUUCCAGGUAUUGGGUAGUGGUUUUGAGGUGAUAUCUGUUGGAAAGCGAAAGCUUGUUAGGUCUGUCCCUACAGAGUUGAACAAAGACCAUAAUUCAAUUCUAGAGCUGGCUCAGGUUAUGAUUGUUUUCAAUUUUUCCCUUAAGACUUCUUGAUGCAAUAUUCUCUUAUAUAAAACUUAUUGCUAUUUUUUCUUCUCCUCUAUUGCUUGCCUGACAUUGUUAAAACUUUUAAAAUCCAUGCAUAUGUUAGUUUCAGAUUAUAGGACUGGUCUGAGUCAGAUUUGCUCUAUGUGUGUCAUUGGAGAGGACCAACUAUAAAGAAGUGGAUCUAUCUUUCUUAUCAUAUUUAACCACUAAGAUAUGGGGCAAAAAAUUGCAAAAAACAUGCAAAGACCUUCGUUUUAUUAGCUAAGUAGGCCAUAUUCUAAAGGUCUUCUCAUGGAAUCCAUGGACUGAGCACUUGUUUCAUGUUGUCAACCUAAAUAUGCUUGUUUUAAUAGCCAAGCAGUUAUUAGUAAUGAUGAAUAAAAAAACCUAGCAAAGAGUGAAGACCCAUAUUUUACAGCGAUUUAUAUUAGUGUGUUGUAGGUAUGACCAUAUGGGUUAGUGAAACCUCAUCCUUGCUCAGCAUCCGUCUGUCUGUCUGUCUAUCUCUUCGCUUUCUCACACGCGUGCACACAUACACAUAUAUGUGGUGAGUUGGGAUGACUUUAUUGCUGAACUAGCCUAGUUUGCUAAGGUGGUUCUGAAAAGUUGGAGACAGUGUACAAAGACUUCAUUCUGAACGUAGGGAAGUUUACCUGUGGUAAAGGUAGCUUGUUUGCUUUACUACAUGUAAAUGAAGCACUUUCAUUUAUGGCAAACUUGGGGACCUUAACCAACUGAUCGGCUCUGGUCUAUUAAACACAGAACAAAACCAUAGUUCUUUCCCUAUUUCCACUAUAAUGAUUGUCACAAUUGUGUUGCAAUUACUCUUCCUUCCAGGCUCAAGGCUUUGUUACUAUUGAAGAGGUGGAAGGACGGCUCUCCUGGCCCUCUGGGCGCGCCACUGAUGCCCUUGAAACUUUAUUGGACGUAAGAUUUUCGUUGAUCAUCAAUCAGUCCUAAUAUUCAUUUUAAUUGAUGCUCAUGAAACUCUGUUGGGUGAUGCAGGAAGGUCUUGCAAUGAUUGAUAAUGGUCACAGAGAUGGCAAACGCCGGUACUGGUUUCCCUGUGCAUCUUCACUCUCUGCUGUAGGAGCUGAUAUUCUCAAGAUUUGAUUUUUCAGCACCAUGUUUUCUGCCCUGGGCAUUGUCUGGUAAAAGGGUGUGUAUGGGAUAGGUCUAGCAUUGGAAUCCAGUAUUUUUGUUUAUUUAUCAGGAAAAAAUGCAAAAAAAUAAAAAUAAAAACCCCAUUUGUGAUAUAGACAUUUGAUGUGGGGACCUGAAAGGAAAAAAAGGGUGUUUGUUCCACCCCACAACCCCGCUCCACCACUUUGUUUUCCUUGUUACUAAUGUUUCAUCUUUUUAAAGAUGUGAUUGUCAGAACACGAAGCAUCUCUCCACGGCUAUCAUCUGUUCCAACUAUAGUUAUUCCCUUCCAUUUGAUGACUGGCAAAACAAUGAAACAGUGAAUAGUAACCCUGAAACGAACUUUAUAGAAAAGCUUUAAUUGUUUGGUUGCUAAGAAAAUGGAGAAAAGGAUGGAAGCGAUCCGGAGAUAUAACAUUAAACUGGAUCGAGUGAUUAUAGCAUGAAUGUGUUCCUCCUGGUUGUGCAGCCGAUGACCAUAUACAUAUUCACUUUUUAGGAAUGAAUCUCCAAAUUAAAUACAUGAUGCAAUUUUUUUAUUGUCCCCAAACCCUGCAAUUCUAGCAAAGAGAGGGAGAAAAAAAAAUGAUCAGUAGACUGUAGUUUGUGAAUGUGUUUCAAUCUCUUCGAUCCAGCCAAAGUUGGGCUCGCUCCAAGACCUCGGCCGCACACCAAGCUGGAAGAACAAGAUCAUCUCCAAGGCCUCAAAAACCUUAUUCUCAUCCAAGAACUCAUUCCAAACUCCGCUCACAAUACAGUAGUUGUUGUUAUAAGGUGCAUGAUGGUGGGCAGCAUGCUGUGAUCUCGACACUAGCAGUCCAGCAUCUUGCAGCGCCACCACUAGCGGAGGGAGGCGGCUUUUUGUGCCAUGAGCCCAGGCAUGGAACUGCUGGCUGAACAUAAUGCAGCCUGAGCACACCCAAACAAAGCCAUGUACAACUGGAUCAUUGAAGACAAGAUCUAGAGGAAGCACGGUAAAGGUUACAGCACGAGCCAGGGCAUGUAGAUUGUUGGCAAACUGGCGGCGGAUGAUCGUCCAGGGCCACUUGUGAUGGCCCUGGAAGGCUUCAAUCUGAGAACCAAACACAGGAGUUGAGGCAUCACCAUAGUUAUCAAUGCCCCAAUGGUAAACCCCUGAGCCAAGGUCUGCAAGCACAUAGCCAAUUAGGCCAGCCAAAACAGGUUCUAGCCACAUAUGUGAAUGGGCUGAACCCGUGGCACACUUCAAUAAAGAAAUGAGCACGGUGGUGCACCCGCUUGCCACCCACGCUCGAUGAGGCCAUGUAGAUAAUAAAUCCGGGUCCUUGAUCGAGGGGCGGUCAGGGGUUUUGGCAAUGGGGGUUGGGGUUAAGGGUCUUGGUUCAAUGACUAGUUGGUCAGCUUUGUGCUUGGCCUUUGCAGUGGAGGUGGCUGAGCAGUGGACAAGGGCGGGGAAGCGUCUAUGGUGGCGUCUUCCGACAUUGUUGGGAGACCUUAGAGAGUAGUACUUGUGGUGUGGGAAGGAGGUGGACAUUGAAGGGCGUGAGAGGCUAAGAGAAAACCCACCGCAAGAGGGAGUAAAUAAAGGUGGAAAUAGUGGCUGUGGAGAUAGAGAAAGCAGUGUGGUGUGAGAAGAUGCAGCGUGGGGCUGUGGAAGUCGCUAGUGGUGUGUGGAGAAUGUGUGUCACACAUUGCUUAAGAGGCUAUCCAGGAUGAUUCCCCAACUACUCUACCAAUAUACAUCAUCAAUUGGCUAUUAUUCAUCAAGGUUCAAGCUACACCAAUGUACACCAUCCACUGGUCAUCAUCAAUCAACCAAGGCUCAAAGCAAUGGUAGAGUUGGACACGACUCAGCCAAGUCGUGUUCAACUUUACCACUAAUUGCAGUAAGUAGUAAUAUCAUGAGACUGGAUGCAAUGAUUUCGAAUUACAACACUGACUUGACUAAGAAAAUCGAAUCAUGACUGGUACAAUCAAGCCAUGAUUCACCUUAAUUAUGAUAAAGUUGCACUAUAUAUACAUCUUCGGUUUGGAUUUGGGCCAUAAGGAAUGGGGAAAUUGGGAGCAAAUUUUAGUGGUAUUUGAGUCUACAAAGAAAAAAAAGCAGACCAAACAAACAAACUUUAAACAUCAAAAGGGGAAAUCAUAGAUGACAUCCGAGCAUCCAAUGCAAAACGAUGAAGUUCUUUAGGGAGCUCAAGUGUCUCAUCAUGGAGGGUGUUCAAGUGCCCUCUGCUUUUUAUUUUCCAGAGGUAAAGAAAAACUUGUCAGCCCAUCUCGAGACCCAUCUGAAUUUGUUACUUAUUUUGCUGACUUUGAAUCAUGACCAUGGAAUUGUUUCAAAAUUCAGUUGGAAGUAAUGAAUGACUAAGAUGAUAAUGGCAACUGGGUCUAUUCUAUUCUAUCGUACAGCAAACCAUAUAGUGCGGGCCGUAGAUUCCGGGUGUUUAGAUCAAGUUUUUUCUUCCUUGGUACAAUAAUCUUAAGAAAAAAAAAAUAUUAAUAUGAAACCAAAUUCUACUCUCUCAUUGGGAUUUUAAGGGCUUUCAUAAUUGUUUUUGAAAACAAUUAUUAGUUUUUCAAAAAAAAAAGAAAAAAAGAAAACACCAUUAUAACCAGAAACAAUUUUCUAUUUUCUAAUUUUUAAAAUAAAAAAUAAGAUAUUUUUAAAUAAUAUCUUUUAAUUAUUUCAUGUUAUUUUUACUUGUUGAAGUAUCUAGAAUGAUUAAAAAUAUUAUUUCAAUUCUCAAACAGAAUUCUAUUUUAUAAAAUAUCAUAAAAUGAUUUGUAAAAAUUAUUUUAAAAAAUAAUUACCAAAUGACCUAAUUUUCUGUUAUACAUAAUAUCAUAAAUGAUUUGAGAAAUGGACCAUAAAAAAAUUAUAAAUAAAUAAAAAUUUAAAUAAAUGCAUCGAGGUUCCAUGAAUUUUGUUUUUGAAAGUAGCGUUGCACGUAAUAACAUGAAAUUAGUCCCAAACCUCAAGAGACUCCAGAAGAAUGCCUAGCUUAGUGUGGUCAAAUGUUGUAAUUAUUUAAUUAUGAAUUUGUUGAAUGCAUUUUAUUGCAUUUAUUUUUUCAAGAAUUUUUUUUUAUUAUCUUUUAUAUUAUUUUAAAUAUUUCAAGAUAUCGAUGAGAAAUUGUGAUUGAACCCUCAAGACCAUGCAUUCAAUUGGUAUUGCACACAUUCUACAAGAAUCAUUAUUUGAAUUAUUUCUCUAAAAACACGUUCCUUAAUAAAAAAACGGUAAAAAUAGAAAAUAUAAUUUUUUUAAAAUAUUUAUUUGUUUUUGAAAACUGUUUUAAAAAAUAAUUAUAUAAAUAUGUAUUUUAAUGUAAAAAUUAUUUUUAAAAUAUAUUUAAAAAUAUUUCGAAUUCUCAAAUUGAUUUUAAAAACUAUUAUAAAACAACUGUUUUUGAAAAUCGUUACCAAUUUUAUUUUAUUUAUUUGUACACACCGAUGCCGUCUUGAGACAUUGGAGAAAGAAAUUGAAUCAAAUUGAAGGAGUGGAAUCAUUGUCCCUAGAAAUUAGAUGGAAGAGUCCAAGAGAAGGGUGGGUAGUGAUCUUGAAUUAAUGGAUGGUUGAUGAGCAAAAGAAGGGGAUGGAGACACUGGUGGUGGGUGUUCUCCUCAAGUUUCCAACCCCGAAUAUGGACAAAAUGGAUAAGACUUCUCCCCACUAGGAAGUAAAAGAGCAGCAAAGAGGAAUAUGCUAGGGUUUUAGGCAUAAAAAACACUCAUAAUUUCCACUUGUUUAUGUCAUCAAUCAUGGACAAAACACAAAAUGGCUCAGGGCCAUCCAUAUCUUUUUGGAAAUGAGCUUGAUUUGAUGUAUUGUUUUCCUUGAGUAAUGCAAGGACUUUCCUAUCUAUACUCUUCUUGUAAUUUGUUUUUCUUUCUUGGAAUAUGCCCCCAUACUAUACCUAUACUUAUUCAAUAGCUUUGGAUGUAUGUGGUAAAAUUCUUACCAUGGUGUAAACUAACUUCUUAUUCAAGUCAUUGGAUUUCUGUAAUGAAAUUUAGUGGACUGUUGAUUUCAUUCAACUUUUCUGAAAUUUCAAUUAAAUAUAUCUAAUUCUAGUAGAUUUGAAAUUUUAUUAAAUAUAUUUUUUUAUUAUUUUUAUUUUUUAUUUUCACUUAUUUUCUAUUUCAUUCAAAAUAAGAAAGAUGUAUGAUAAAAUUUUAAAUUUAUGGAGAUCAUAUGUAUUUAGCCAAAAUCUCGAAAAGAGAUGAAUGAAAUUAACUCUAUAAAUAAAUGAGGUUAAUAUAUAAAAGUGUGUAUAAAUGAAUAAGAUCUAAUGACGUUAACAUAGGACCACUUAAUUAAUAUGAUUUUUUUAAUACUUAAAAGUACUUUUUAGUAUCAGACCAUUCAUUUGUUUUUUUUUUUUUUUGCCUUCUCCACAUCAAAUAUGUUAUUGUCACAAAAAACAGUCAUCAUCUUAAUAUUUCAAAAUCCAAUUUGGAAGAUUGUUAGAAUAAAACCAUUUUGUAUAAUUAGGUCAAAAAAAUAGUUCAUAAUUCAACCAUAUAAUUAGUUAAUCAUAGUGUGGGAAAGCUUCUUUCUUUCAAAAUCAAUUUUUUUUUUCUUUCCAUUUUGUCCCCAAAUGGAACAAGCAAAAAUAUUUUUUUUUGUAUUGGGCAAUCCUUUCUUUUAUCUUUUAGUAGAAGAAGAAAACAAAAGUGUUCACACCCACAAAAGUUGGAAAUCUGGUUUAUACAAAAGUAUUGUAACCUAUACCUAACAAGUUAGACACCACCUAAAUUUUCAGACCAUGAUCAUCCUCUAUUAGGGUUUGUACAAAUUUGACUAAGACUCAACUCAUUCAAACCUCUCAAACCCAUCUCCUUAAUGACAUUUUAAAUAUUAUUUUGACACCCAAAUUUAUAAAUUAUUUAAUACAAAUUUUUAUGUUUUAAAAACUUAGUCCGUUGCACACGGUACAUGUUUUCCUUUUGUUUUUUUAAAAUAAAUGAAAAUAAUUUUUAUUCAUUUUCUAAAAAUUGUUUAUUGAGAAAAAUGGUCAUACAAUAUUAAAAAAUUUUAAAAAUAAUUUUUUAUUUUUAAAAAUAAAAAAUUAUUUUAAAUCAUCAAGCUAUUAAAUUAUUUAGUAAGUGAGCAUAAAAACUAAAAUAUUUUCAAACCUAUAUCAUUAGGAUAUUUGUCCUAUUAUAAUUAUGAAAGAAAGUAAUAAUUUUUAGUUUUGAAAACAUAAAAAUUGUAAAUGAUAAUGAAAUCAUAUUUGGAAAAUUUAUUUUUUGAUAUCAUUAUUUCUAAAAUACAAUUAAUUACUUGAAUGAUUAAAAAUAUUAAAAAUAAAAAAAAAUAAUCACAUUUUUUUUUCAUUUUUGAAAUAAAAAACGUUUGUAUAAAUAAUAAUAAUAAUAAAAUUUGUGUCUAAAAAUAGGAAAAAUAUUUAUUAAUUCAUUUAUAUGAAAAAGUCCAAAAAUAUGAAGGCAUGUGGGUAUGGAUUGUGAAUAAAUUAUAUAUAGGAGUCAAACUUAGAUCCACCUCUCAUCAUCACUACAAUAGUCUCUCUCCCUUUGUCUCCUUACACCAUCUUCCCUCAUCUACCCCAUGGCACCAUCUUCUCCCUCCGCCUGUCUCCUCCAAACCACCCAUCUCAGAACCUUCCUCUUAAUCUCUCUUCUGGUCUUUGUGCCCCCCAUUCAUGCGCUGAAACCCCCAAUUCGGCCGCGGGAUAUUCUGCCGUUGUUGCCCAGACAGCUCUCAUGGCCGAUUCUCAACUCCCUCCACAGCGCAGUGGACCUUCUGCCCACUUUUGUGGGCUCUGCCUCCUCCAACGACACUGUCGAGUGGAAAGGGACGUGCUUUUACGAGACCAGGGCUUGGAUGGAGUUCAACAACAAAAGUGGGAGCGAAUUUGGUGGGGGCACACUUCAUAUUAAGGUUUGGGUUUGGGCUUGGGUUUUGAUUGCUUUGUUUAAUUUUGAUUGUUUUUGUGGGAAUAGGGAUUGUUGGGCAUGUGGGUUUUGGUUGUUAUUGGACCUCCAUGAGGUUUCCCGGAUUUUCAUUUGAGGGUGUGCAGUCACAAACGUACCUGAUUCUUUUUUGUUUUUAAAUUUUACUUAAUUUUAUGAUAUUUAAAGUAUUGGUGAUUAUUUUGUGUGAUUUUUGGUUGAUCUUCUGGAAAUUUAGAGUAUUGGGAGGUGGGUUUAGUUUUUCUUGAAUAGCAAUGUGUUUUUCUUGGUUUUCAUUUGAGGAUUUUUUAUCAGACGGAUACCUAUUUUUUUUGUUAUAUUUUUCCUUAAAUUAUUGAAUAUUGUAAUUUAUUUUCUGGGAUGUGAAGUAUUGGGUGUCUGGGUCUUGGUGUUAUUGUGCAGUACUAAUCUUUCUGGUCUGUGAUGAGAAUACCUGACUGGGGGACUAUCUUUGCCUACCUUUUUAUUUUUUAUUUCUAAGGAGAAUGAUUUUCUCAUUCUGGAUUACUUUUUAUUUCUAUAAGGAAAAUGAUUUUCUCAGUGAAAAUUUGUAAGAAAAUUAAAUGUAAUUAAAAUUAGCAAAAAAUUUAAAUAUUUUUAAACCAUUUAAUAUUUGAAUAGAAGAGAAAAAAAAUAAGUGAAGUCACUUUAAAUAUAAUUAUUAUUAUUUUUUUCUACCCUCUACUUUUCCUGUUUAUUUUAUUUCCCUUACAUUUUCCCCUCGUAUUUUUCAGGAACCAAACAUAGAAUUAGUGUUUUAGAGUAUUGGAUAUAUGGGUAUCAGUGGCAGUGAUAUCUGGGUAUUGGUGGCAGUGAACACUACGGACCUUUUGUUAUCAAGGUGUCAAAUGGACAUGCAUAAUUCUUUGGUAUUAGUUUGCUUUUGUAGAAAUCUGGAUAACUGGGUGUAUAGAUAUUUGUAAUAUUGAAAACUACUUAUCUUUUGUAGGACCUCUUUGGAUGGUUGGUUCAGAGGUUUGUGGUGAGACUCAAUUGGGGUUUAAAUUUUAGUUGAUUUUCUACCAUUUUUGUAAAUAUAUAUUGAAUGACACUGCCCUGAAAAUUAGCCUUUUAAAGGAGAUAUCAGAGGGAUUUGUUAAUAUUAGAUUAUGUUUGCAUCUAUGUGGGAGAAGUUGCAAAUUGGUAGUACAGCUUCUUAAUACUUGAUGGUGGCUGCUAGGCUUCCAUUUUUGCAACCCACUUUUGUCCUACAUAUAUUAGUACUCCACAAUAAUGAUGCACUAACACCAGUGAUGUUACAGACUCAGGGACAAGUGUCAGGUCCAGGUCUAGCUUUUGUUUCAGAUAGAUCUGAUUCCCAAAUUUUUACAUUUAUAGUUGGUUGAAUCAUAAAAAUGUCCAACUUUCAUCAAUGUCUUCCUUAAAAUAAAAUGAUAUUUCUCUGUUACAUAGCUUGUUUGACAUUGGAACUUGAUACUUUUUGUAACAUUUAUUGAUGAGGAUAAAGUAGGAAGCUAUCCUAGGGAAGGAACUUGUUCUUGUCUUCAUUUGUUGUAUACUUCUGCUGCUAAUGUCCAAUAGUGGAUUGGCUUGUUUCAUAUUCACAACCCAUACCCGUGUAAUGUUGAAACAUAGAGCAAAUGCGAUGGUGCAGAUAGAGUGCAUAAGCAAUGUUACUUCUUUCAUCUGGAAGUAUUACCAAUGCAACAUAAGUAGAAAGUAACUCAUAGCUUUAAUAAGGUCUUUGAACAAUUUUUUCCUCGGAUUUAAUGUUGUUUCAUUUUUUGGUUUGUAAUUUUAGAUAAUGGCCUUAUUGAACAUAGACAUGGUCCUUGUUGGAUUUAGCUCCAACACUGCUUAUUAGCUUGGAAGCUUCUUGUAUUAGUAUAAUCAUAUACCCUAAUAUGGCCAGCAGAAGAAUAGAUUAUUUUUAGCUUUAAAAUGCUACUCUUUACUUGUUCAGGUUAGUAGUGCCCAUAGUUGGACAUGUAUGGACCUUUAUGUCUUUGCAACUCCAUACCAAGUGACAUGGGAUUACUACUUUUUGUCUCGGGAGCAUACCAUUGAGUUCAAUGCAUGGGAAGAAAAAGCUGAGUUUGAAUACGUAAGUUACUACUGGAUAGCACUUACUACCUCUUCUAAUUGUUUCUUAGUAUUUAUUCCUGAUUCAUAAUAUAUCCUUACUUUCUACUAAAUCAGGUGAAAAACAAAGGGGUUUCAGUUUUUCUCAUGCAAGCUGGGAUGCUGGGAACCCUUGAAGCUCUCUGGGAUGUCUUCCCAUUAUUCACAAAUACUGGAUGGGGUGAGAACGCAAACCUUGGGUUUCUCAAGAAGCAUAUGGGGGCUUCAUUUCAAACACGUCCUCAGCCAUGGGUUACAAACAUUAGUGUUGAUGAUCUUCACUCUGGAGAUUUCCUUGCAAUAUCAAAAAUUCGUGGACGGUGGGGUGGUUUUGAGACUCUAGAGAAGUGGGUCACUGGAUCUUAUGCUGGUCAUUCCGCAGUUUGCUUAAGGGAUUCUGAAGGGAAGCUAUGGGUUGGUGAAUCAGGACAUAGAAAUG
rnacentral:lncRNA from 1 species